rnacentral:rRNA from 1 species
UACGAGGGGGCGAGCGUUGUUCGGAAUUAUUGGGCGUAAAGGGUGCGUAGGCGGCCUGACAAGUCUGAUGUGAAAUCCCUGGGCUCAACCCAGGGCCUGCAUCGGAAACUGGUCGGGCUUGAGUAUGGGAGAGGUGAGUGGAAUUCCUGGUGUAGCGGUGAAAUGCGCAGAUAUCAGGAGGAACACCGAUGGCGAAGGCAGGUCUCUGGGCCACUACUGACGCUGAGAAGCGAAAGCAUGGGGAGCGAACAGG